rnacentral:rRNA from 1 species
GACGCAGGGCGCUAGCGUUGUUCGGAAUCACUGGGCGUAAAGGGCGCGUAGGCGGCCAUGUAAGUCGGGGGUGAAAGCCCGGGGCUCAACCCCGGAACGGCCUUCGAGACUGCGUGGCUGGAGAGCGGAAGAGGAGGGUGGAAUACCCAGUGUAGAGGUGAAAUUCGUAGAUAUUGGGUGGAACACCGGUGGCGAAAGCGGCUCUCUGGUCCGGAUCUGACGCUGAGGCGCGAAAGCGUGGGGAGCAAACAGG